ACAGGCUGUUGUGAGGCCUAACCAUCCACCAAAUGCAACAGGAAUUUGCUGGUGUCCUUGGAGACAAGGAGCUUCUGGGAGAUGAUGCUCUUGGUGAUGUCUGAACAGGUUUUUGGCUAAGUAAUGAGGCAGUGCAUGGGUGUAAUAGACCUGAGCUGCUGCAUUCUGAUGGGGGAAGCUAAUUAGCACAUGGUGAAGCAGCACUGUGGUGCAUCAUGUCUUGGAUGCAGGAUGGAGAUGAACAAACUGGCACCCUGUGGAGAGAGAAGGCAGCCUGUGACUCACUGCGAAGGUAUUGCCCCAUGUUCCUACAGCCUUGAGGCUGGCCUGCAGGACUGGUGGCAGAAGGUGGGGUGGAGUUGCAGCUCUAUCAGGAAAGCAGGAACUGCCUGAGUUAGCAGUGGCUCUGAAUAACGAAGCAGGUGUCUGCACCUCCCUGGAGCACAGCGUCCCACAGUUGGCAGCAGAAGGCUGGAGUCCGUCCGGAGCUCUGAUGGACUUUGGGUG
rnacentral:lncRNA from 1 species